UACGUAGGGCGCGAGCGUUGUCCGGAAUUAUUGGGCGUAAAGAGCUCGUAGGCGGCCUGUUGCGUCCGCUGUGAAAUCCCGGGGCUUAACCCCGGGCGUGCAGUGGAUACGGGCUGGCUGGAGGCAGGCAGGGGAGAACGGAAUUCCCGGUGUAGCGGUGAAAUGCGCAGAUAUCGGGAGGAACACCGGUGGCGAAGGCGGUUCUCUGGGCCUGACCUGACGCUGAGGAGCGAAAGCGUGGGGAGCGAACAGG
rnacentral:rRNA from 1 species